CUCACUGGGCUUUGUAAGUUGCUUUGGAUAAGAGCGUCUGCUAAAUGACUUAAA
rfam:Salmo salar isolate Sally breed double haploid chromosome ssa21, whole genome shotgun sequence.